rnacentral:rRNA from 1 species
GAUGAACGCUGGCGGCGUGCCUAAUACAUGCAAGUCGAGCGAACAGACGAGGAGCUUGCUCCUCUGACGUUAGCGGCGGACGGGUGAGUAACACGUGGAUAACCUACCUAUAAGACUGGGAUAACUUCGGGAAACCAGAGCUAAUACCGGAUAAUAUAUUGAACCGCAUGGUUCAAUAGUGAAAGACGGUUUUGCUGUAACUUAUAGAUGGAUCCGCGCCGCAUUAGCUAGUUGGUAAGGUAACGGGUUACCAAGGCAACGAUGCGUAGCCGACCUGAGAGGGUGAUCGGCCACACUGGAACUGAGACACGGUCCAGACUCCUACGGGAGGCAGCAGUAGGGAAUCUUCCGCAAUGGGCGAAAGCCUGACGGAGCAACGCCGCGUGAGUGAUGAAGGUCUUCGGAUCGUAAAACUCUGUUAUUAGGGAAGAACAAAUGUGUAAGUAACUAUGCACGUCUUGACGGUACCUAAUCAGAAAGCCACGGCUAACUACGUG